rnacentral:rRNA from 1 species
GACAGAGGAUGCAAGCGUUAUCCGGAAUGAUUGGGCGUAAAGCGUGCGCAGGCGGCUUUGCAAGACAGAUGUGAAAUCCCCCGGGCUCAACCUGGGAACUGCAUUUGUGACUGCAUGGCUAGAGUACGGUAGAGGGGGAUGGAAUUCCGCGUGUAGCAGUGAAAUGCGUAGAUAUGCGGAGGAACACCGAUGGCGAAGGCAAUCCCCUGGACCUGUACUGACGCUGAGGAGCGAAAGCCAGGGGAGCAAACGGG